CAUAGGUAGUGGCUUGGUUAAGGGAACCCACUAGAGCCAUAGUGAAAGUGAGUCUUUAUAGGAAAUUGUUAUUACUUAUGGACCCGAACCUGGGUGAUCUAUCACAAACUAGGAUGAAGCUUGGGUGAAACUAAGUGGAGGUCCAACCGAUUGAUAUUGAAGAAUUAGAGGAUAAGUUGUGGUUAGGGGUGAAAUGUCACUCAAACCUAGAGCAAGUUGG
rnacentral:ncRNA from 1 species